rnacentral:rRNA from 1 species
GACGAACGCUGGCGGCGUGCUUAACACAUGCAAGUCGAACGAUGAUCAGGAGCUUGCUCCUGUGAUUAGUGGCGAACGGGUGAGUAACACGUGAGUAACCUGCCCCUGACUCUGGGAUAAGCGUUGGAAACGACGUCUAAUACUGGAUAUGAUCACUGGCCGCAUGGUCUGGUGGUGGAAAGAUUUUUUGGUUGGGGAUGGACUCGCGGCCUAUCAGCUUGUUGGUGAGGUAAUGGCUCACCAAGGCGACGACGGGUAGCUGGCCUGAGAGGGUGACCGGCCACACUGGGACUGAGACACGGCACAGACUCCUACGGGAGGCAGCAGUGGGGAAUAUUGCACAAUGGGCGAAAGCCUGAUGCAGCAACGCCGCGUGAGGGAUGACGGCCUUCGGGUUGUAAACCUCUUUUAGUAGGGAAGAAGCGAAAGUGACGGUACCUGCAGAAAAAGCACCGGCUAACUACGUGCCAGCCGCCGCCGUAA